rnacentral:lncRNA from 1 species
GUCUAUGUCCAACCAUAGACAGUCAAUUUAGUUCCAUCUUUAGCCGCUAGGUGCUGCCAGCAAGUAUAAAGGGAGCGCAGCCAUCUUUGAUCUUCAUAGUCUUCACCAGGAAGAACUUCCUGCAAUGCUGUAUGUUUUCCUUCUCGGCACAUAAUAUCGGUUUUAUUGUUAUGUAAAACCGUAAUAUUGAUGUGCCUUUGGAAAACAUACAGCAUUGUAUUAUGAAGACGUGUUUGUUAUCUGCUGGUGAAAUUAUUAAGCACAACGCUAUGAUGAAAUAGAAAGUCGACAGCGCUGCUUUAUGAUGCAGAAGGAUUGUUUUAUAGGCAAAAUUUUCUUUUUGGAAAAGAAGAAAGAAUUUGGCAACAUCUGCAGACUUAGGAUCAAUUUUAAAACUGUAGCACCAUAUGCACCAUCUUCUAGUUGCUGGUAAGUAUGCUGACAAAGUGGAUUGACACCAGCUAAUUUUCAAUAAAUCUUCUCCUGUUUA